rnacentral:rRNA from 1 species
UAGGGAAUCUUCGGCAAUGGGGGCAACCCUGACCGAGCAACGCCGCGUGAGUGAAGAAGGUUUUCGGAUCGUAAAGCUCUGUUGUAAGAGAAGAACGUGUGUGAGAGUGGAAAGUUCACACAGUGACGGUAACUUACCAGAAAGGGACGGCUAACUACGUGCCAGCAGCCGCGGUAAUACGUAGGUCCCGAGCGUUGUCCGGAUUUAUUGGGCGUAAAGCGAGCGCAGGCGGUUUAAUAAGUCUGAAGUUAAAGGCAGUGGCUUAACCAUUGUUCGCUUUGGAUACUGUUAAACUUGAGUGCGGAAGGGGAGAGUGGAAUUCCAUGUGUAGCGGUGAAAUGCGUAGAUAUAUGGAGUAACACCGGUGGCGAAAGCGGCUCUCUGGUCUGUAACUGACGCUGAGGCUCGAAAGCGUGGGGAGCAAACAGG